GGGUUCGAUCAUACCAGCAAUAAUGCACCGGAUCCCAUCAGAACUCCGAAGUUAAGCUUGCUUGGGCGAGAGCAGUACUAGGAUGGGUGACCUCCUGGGAAGUCCUCGUGUUGCACCCCUC
rnacentral:rRNA from 1 species